GACGAACGCUGGCGGCGUGCUUAACACAUGCAAGUCGAACGAUGAAACCUAGCUUGCUAGGUCGAUUAGUGGCGAACGGGUGAGUAACACGUGACUAACCUGCCCCUUUCUCUGGGAUAACGCUCCGAAAGGAGUGCUAAUACCGGAUACUCACACCGAGGCACAUGCCUUGGUGUGGAGAGUUUUUCGGAAAGGGAUGGAGUCGCGGCCUAUCAGCUUGUUGGUGAGGUAACGGCUCACCAAGGCGACGACGGGUAGCCGGCCUGAGAGGGGGACCGGCCACACUGGGACUGAGACACGGCCCAGACUCCUACGGGAGGCAGCAGUGGGGAAUAUUGCACAAUGGGCGCAAGCCUAAUGCAGCGACGCCGCGUGAGGGAUGAAGGUCUUCGGAUUGUAAACCUCUUUCAGUAGGGACGAAGCGAAAGUGACGGUACCUAAAGAAGAAGCACCGGCUAACUACGUGCCAGCCGCCGCCGUAA
rnacentral:rRNA from 1 species